rnacentral:lncRNA from 1 species
AUGCCGCAGAGUCACUGGAACUCACCGGAGCUCAGGCGUAGUCCCUAUUCUACAGCUGGGAAAACAGGCAUGCAGAGCCGAGGCAGAGCUGGAGUCCAGACGCUCUGGGAGGCCACCGGCAUGGAAGAAGGGAGCUGCCUCCCUUCCUGGAGCCCGGUUCCUGUCUGGGAUGCCAGAAAACAGUUUGGGGAAGCCAAGUGAGAAUGGAAUUCUCACUCUGCCUGGAACAUAGUUCUUCUUGAAUGAACUGAGGAUACAAGAAUGGUGUUGCACUGCUAUUACAGAAUACUACAGACCAGGUA